rnacentral:lncRNA from 1 species
CAAAAGUUCCCUUGUGAGAAGAAUACACUGACUUUGGAGUUGCCCAAGUGGCUUGCUAUCACAUACAAAGAGGAGAGAAGCCAUGGUAUGUGAGGUCCAAGAAAAUGCCUUCAGCCAUCUUGCACUUCUGCUCUCCACAAUGAGUAGAUUGUGCCUGUGGUAGGCAUUGUUUUUCAUCCUGAAUCCUGGAUACAGAGACUCAUGGAGUAGAUUGGAACCCAGACUGUAAACUGGCGUGAAGAGCAACUCAAUUGGCCAGCUCGAGCGAAUUCUCUGGACCCACCUGAUGUAUUAAUGGCAUAGCCAGGACUGUGAGACCCUGCUGGACCAAGUUCCCCCCUUUUCUAUCAAGCCUUGAAAAUGAGAAAGAUCCAGGUCAGUUACAGGUACUUCAAGGAGGCAGUAUGAUUGCCUUGAUGUAUGUCUUCUGGGGUUUCAGCUUGAGAGAGCAGAGGAAAAAUAAAGGAGGCUAUUCUGGGUGCCAGCUGGACUUGUGCUGCCUGUGAGUGAGUGAUACACAAAAUUUCCAUGGGCUUUUGUGGGUGGAUGAGUUGGCCAGGGGUUAUUUUAAAAGGGAUCCUUCCCAAUAGGACUGACUGGUGGAGCAAAGGACUGUGAUC